rnacentral:lncRNA from 1 species
ACAGAGAACAGUCCAUCUGCGGAUGUUACUGAGGGUCAAGAGGAAAGAGGAAGUGGAUGGCCACAGCCUGAUGGUAAUGUUUGGAAGUUAGGUGUGGGUUUGUAUUUUUAACAAUUUUCAGAAUUGGAAUCGUGCUUUGUGUCAUUUUGCAUCUGUGAGGGUCACCUGGACUUUAUGGCAAUCUCCAAAGGUUUAAGACGGGGCAUCUCAAUGUUCAGAAGUCUCUCCCUCCAGGGUGUGGUCUGAGCAAUAGUGAUAAAACCUAUGAAGCAUGUGUUACUAUCAGUUGUCCGUCCUGAUUUAUAUUUUUAGCUGAAAUUUUUUUAGCAAGAAUAAUGAUUUUAAAGUAUGCAAAGUGCAUUUCCAUAUUUUAUCAUUUGUCUUUGCUUUAAAAAAAAUUAUCCAGGUUAGUGCAAACAGCCCCACAUACUGACUAUUUAAAAGUAAAUAAUUCCUAAUUGGUAAAAUGCCAAAGUCUAUUUACUAAUGACGUUAAAUAUUUCUAGGAAAUUUUGUUUUUAAGGGGUGAAUUAGCUAUUCAAUUCUCCAUGACCAAGGCAUUUAAAAAUGAUAAUUAAAGAAUGCCCUGAUGUAGGAAGGUGUGGCUCAGUGGCUAGAGUGCCAUCCUGGCUUGAACAAGGCCCUGGGUUCAGGCAGAUUAAGACAGGAAGAUCAGUGCGUGGUGGUGGUGGCAAACGCCUUCAAGCCUAGCACUCAGGAGGCAGAGGCAGACAGAUCUCUGAGGGUCUCAUGUAGGCCUAGGCUGGACUCAACUCAGAAUGUUGUAGCUAAAGACAAACUUGGUUCUGAUUCUUCUGCUUCCACUUCCCCAGGCCAGCAAGGGCAAGCUACAAGCGAGGCUGGGUGGAGCGCAGGGGAGUCAUAAAUGCCGGGGAAACACUAAGAAGCCAGCUACAUCCCACAGUCUUCUUUUAAUUUGAUUGCUGUUGGUGUUUGUGUGAGAGGCUUGACUCACCCUGCCAUGCCGCCUCAGCAUCCCAGUGCUGAGGUUAUAAGAGCCAUAUCUGGCUUGCUGGAUUAUUAAAACAGUCCCCGAUUACAGUUACUCGGUUCAAAAUGAGAUGAAUGUGGGCAAGUAAUCACAGGUCUAGUGUAAAACCGUGGAUGGUGGCACUGAACUAGAGUCACCUUUGGGUGGCACAGUGGAAACAGCUAGGAUGUCGUAAAAGUCUGGGAGCCGCCUGACUGCACCUCUGCAGAGCAAAGCUGAGCUAUGAGGGAGAACUGGGCUCUCUCUCCCUGCUAGUUCCCCAGUCUCACUUGGAGAGCGCUUGAGGUGGAGGUACAGGGGAUGAGGGAGCUCACCAGUAAGUUCUUCGAAACUGUACCCACGACAACACUAAAUGCUUAGUCCCAGAAUGAGCAGUGUGGGACCAACGUUCCAUUGUGCAAUGUCCCUGUUAAUCUUGAGCCAUCUUCUUUCCCUUGUGACAGAUAAAGACAAUGUCCAAAUCAUACAUGGAAAUUCAACAGACACAACAUCUAUACAAUUCAGUGAGCAUCCAUACAGUUAGAACGGGCACUGGGAUGGAAACUGUGAAAUUUCAUACUACAUUUUAUACUUUAAGAACCGACUACCUUCUAUGCUCCUACCCACUAGUCAAACAAAAAAGAACUCCAUGACAUAACUAGAACUAGAAAAAUGAUUGGCUUUAUAUCCUCUGACAUAAAUGGUGUCAAUUUCUUGCAGUCAGCUCUGCUUACCUUUGGUGUGUGUUGUUUUUCACUUAUUUUCAAGUUUUUAAUUAGUAAAGUUUACAAAAUUAAAAAUAAGAUAAUUCAAACAAACAAGCUUACAAUGAGCAAAUCACUCCCUUGUCUUCGCAGCACAGUGCAAAGAGAAGUGCAGUCUCAGGUUGGCUGGGAUCCAGUAGAUGGAUCCUGUGACUCGCUGAUCUAGUUUCUGCCUUUAGAACACUCCCCAAGUUUGUUCCUUGAAUGUCUUGGCUGAAAACUUAAUUCCCUCCAUUUGGAAGACAGAGAUGUCCAGUUGAGCCAAGACCACUCUUGUCUCUGCACCGACCACAUCCGGUGUUCACUUCCUUCUCUGCCUUUGGCCUUCAAGGUACUCAAGACCAGGAGCACACAUUUCCUGUUCUGUUUUUCCAUGUCAUCAAGCAUGGGGAAGGCUGUCAGCAAACACGUGGGAAAUGUGAAAAAGUAGGGGGGAAGGGGCAGAGGACAAGGGAGGAGACAGACUGACAAGGACCAGUGGAAACCACCUGCUUAGUUAGGGGUGACACACUUCCAUGCAGUGCAGACCAAGUCCUCAUGGUUUCCUAAACCGGGGUCCUCACUCCCCUGGUACCAAUUAGCAUUGCAACAGACACGGAAAGCAAGAUAACACUAACAAAGAUCCACCACUGGUAUUAAACACAAAAGGCUGAGUAGUCAGUUAGGUAGCUAGUUGGCAUUUACUGACUCCAUGCUAAACCCAAUGAGUGUUAAUAGUUUUAUGACCCUGGGACAUAACCCAUAUUACAUUUGCUUUUGUUUUCUUCAAAAAAAAAAAAAAACUCACUUUAUGUAUGACUGGUGCCUUCAGCUGUCAGACAAGAGCAUGUGGUCCCCUGGAACUGGAGUUACGGAUGGCUGACUCACAGGUAAGUGCUGUGAAUUGAACUCAAGCCCCCUGCAGGAGCAACAAGGGCUCUUUAACUGCUGAAGCAUCUCUCCAGACACUCAUUUCAUUUUCUAAGUCAUUGCAAAUGAAGGUCUGCUCAUGUAAGUAGCUUCAGAUUCCAUUAUCGUCUUCAGGUUCACACGUUCACAUAUCUGGAAGAUCAGAGACGUUUCCAGAAAUUUGCCGUCCACAGUGAGUAAGGAGAGCCUCUGGCCUUCAGCUCCACAAGUCCUUUCUUCUCCAAAGUACCAAGACCUUCAAAAUGCCCCACCAUGAGCCUUAGACACAACCUAUGUUCUUCAAGGUCACACAUCUUACUGUUGGGCUCCUAGACACUCAACGAUGCAGGAGGAGGCAUUGCCACCUCAGGGGCACUGAGAUACUCAUAUAACAACUUCGUGGGAUUUCAAGAGAGGGUAUUCACUUGUUUUCCUUCUGAGAUCAAAAUCCCCCACCUUGAGAGCUGACCUACCAUAUAGAUGGAAGGAGAAAUGAUUCAGUUUUGUUUUUCCCCAAAGCUGUCAACUAUUUGAAAUUUUUACUUACUCCUUUUACGUGUUAUGUAUUUAUGAGAUACCACGUGAUAGUUCAUACUUUUAUGUACUUAUUCUGUUGUGUUUAAUAAAGGGUAAGCAUAUCUAUCCCUUCAAAUUUAAAUAUAUUAAAAUAGUAACCUACCGUGCAACCAAGCACAUG